ACGGUCCAGACUCCUACGGGAGGCAGCAGUGGGGAAUAUUGCACAAUGGGCGCAAGCCUGAUGCAGCCAUGCCGCGUGUGUGAAGAAGGCCUUCGGGUUGUAAAGCACUUUCAGUCGUGAGGAAGGUAGUGUAGUUAAUAGCUGCAUUAUUUGACGUUAGCGACAGAAGAAGCACCGGCUAACUCCGUGCCAGCAGCCGCGGUAAUACGGAGGGUGCGAGCGUUAAUCGGAAUUACUGGGCGUAAAGCGCAUGCAGGUGGUUUGUUAAGUCAGAUGUGAAAGCCCGGGGCUCAACCUCGGAAUUGCAUUUGAAACUGGCAGACUAGAGUACUGUAGAGGGGGGUAGAAUUUCAGGUGUAGCGGUGAAAUGCGUAGAGAUCUGAAGGAAUACCGGUGGCGAAGGCGGCCCCCUGGACAGAUACUGACACUCAGAUGCGAAAGCGUGGGGAGCAAACAGGAUUAGAUACCCUGGUAGUCCACGCCGUAAACGAUGUCUACUUGGAGGUUGUGGCCUUGAGCCGUGGCUUUCGGAGCUAACGCGUUAAGUAGACCGCCUGGGGAGUACGGUCGCAAGAUUAAAACUCAAAUGAAUUGACGGGGGCCCGCACAAGCGGUGGAGCAUGUGGUUUAAUUCGAUGCAACGCGAAGAACCUUACCUACUCUUGACAUCCAGAGAACUUUCCAGAGAUGGAUUGGUGCCUUCGGGAACUCUGAGACAGGUGCUGCAUGGCUGUCGUCAGCUCGUGUUGUGAAAUGUUGGGUUAAGUCCCGCAACGAGCGCAACCCUUAUCCUUGUUUGCCAGCGAGUAAUGUCGGGAACUCCAGGGAGACUGCCGGUGAUAAACCGGAGGAAGGUGGGGACGACGUCAAGUCAUCAUGGCCCUUACGAGUAGGGCUACACACGUGCUACAAUGGCGCAUACAGAGGGCAGCCAACUUGCGAAAGUGAGCGAAUCCCAAAAAGUGCGUCGUAGUCCGGAUUGGAGUCUGCAACUCGACUCCAUGAAGUCGGAAUCGCUAGUAAUCGUGGAUCAGAAUGCCACGGUGAAUACGUUCCCGGGCCUUGUACACACCGCCCGUCACACCAUGGGAGUGGGCUGCAAAAGAAGUAGGUAGUUUAACCUUCGGGGGG
rnacentral:rRNA from 1 species